AGACCUUCAAUUGGAUGAUGGCCUCGUCCUGCAUGACACCUGUGCUACAUACUGCUUCCUGUAUGCUCGUGAGAACGACUCCUUCCGCCACCUCUGUCAUCUGAUCCUCUCCCUGUAUGCUUGACGUGAUGUUUUUCAGUGACAGGGACUGGGAGACUAGUCAGGAUCAAGGGAAAGAUGAACGGAGCAAAGUACAGAGAUCUUCCUUGAUAGAAACCUGCUCCAGAGUUCUCAGGACCUCAGACUGGGGCCAAGGUUCACCUUCCAAUGGGAAAAUGACCCUAAGCACACAGCCAAGACAACGCAGGAGUGGCUUCGGGACAAGUCUCAAUGUCCUUGAGCGGCCCCACCUGAGCCCGGACUUGAACUCGAUCGAACAUCUCUGGAGAGACUUCAAAAUAGCUGUGCAGCAAUGCUCCUCAUCCAACCUGACAGAGCUAAAGAGGAUCUGCAGAGAAGAAUGGGAGAAACUCCCCAAAUACAGAUUUUUAGAGAUGGAAAGAGGGAUUGAAUGAGAGAGCGAGAGACAGACACACGAGGACUCAAUUGGAACCGCCCUGUGUCUUUAUUACCAUACUGAGGCAAAGCAUCAAGCAGCUGUACUACAUGUGCUAUAUCGUGCAGUGCCUGUGAAGGAGGGCAUGAGAGGAUGCAACUUAAUAAACUUUACUGGAUAAAGUCAUAGGAAGAGCAUGCAAUGCAUUACCAAUUUUGCACGUCAAGCUUGGAUUCCGUAGCAUGCUGGCGCUGUUCUGGACAAGGUCAAAAAAGAUCGUCAUCUGGCACUGAGGACAAAUAAUCUGGUCAUGGGUUGUUCCAUGAAUAGAAUUACUUUUGCGUCCCUUGAUAUAUUAAGAGGAAAUUGUGCACCAAUAUUAAAAGUGUUCUAUUAUGUAAAUUAAGUUCCCUAUAUACUACAUGGAAAAUUCA
rnacentral:lncRNA from 1 species